rnacentral:rRNA from 1 species
GAUGAACGCUGGCGGCGUGCCUAAUACAUGCAAGUCGAGCGAACGGACGAGAAGCUUGCUUCUCUGAUGUUAGCGGCGGACGGGUGAGUAACUCGUGGAUAACCUACCUAUAAGACUGGGAUAACUUCGGGAAACCGGAGCUAAUACCGGAUAAUAUUUUGAACCGCAUGGUUCAAAAGUGAAAGACGGUCUUGCUGUCACUUAUAGAUGGAUCCGCGCUGCAUUAGCUAGUUGGUAAGGUAACGGCUUACCAAGGCAACGAUGCAUAGCCGACCUGAGAGGGUGAUCGGCCACACUGGAACUGAGACACGGUCCAGACUCCUACGGGAGGCAGCAGUAGGGAAUCUUCCGCAAUGGGCGAAAGCCUGACGGAGCAACGCCGCGUGAGUGAUGAAGGUCUUCGGAUCGUAAAACUCUGUUAUUAGGGAAGAACAUAUGUGUAAGUAACUGUGCACAUCUUGACGGUACCUAAUCAGAAAGCCACGUCUAACUACGUG